CUCAGUCCAUUAGGUGUGCCUUUCUUGGAUAUAGUAUUACUCAAAAGGGUUAUCUAUGUUUUGAUCCACACACUAAUCGAGUUCAUGUUUCUAGAAAUGUUAUUUUCUUUGAAAAUCAAUGUUUCUUUCCUUUGUCUUCCUCCUCAGCCACUUCUCUUGCCUCUUUACCCUUUUUUGAUGACUCUUCUCCUUUGCAAAGUGUUCCAGUUGACCGGUUCCAGCCCCAUUUGGUGUACAAAAGAAGACUUCCUAUGCUGCCCCCUUCAGCUUCUGUCUUGUCAUCUGCUCCUCCUUUGCAGCCUUCUAUGGCUUCUGAGGUACCUGUUUUGGCUCCUUUACGCCGCUCCUCUAGAAUAUCUGUACCACCUGCUAAGUAUGGAUUUACCUCAUCUGUGGCACAUCAUUCUACUGCUGCUCUCUCUGUCACUUUAUCCUCUAUUUCUAUCCCUACUGGCUAUUCACAGGCAGCUAAAGAACCAUGCUGGCAGCAGGCUAUGCAGGAAGAGUUACAUGCUCUAGAAGCUAAUCAGACUUGGGAUAUUGUUGAUUGUCCUUCUGGUGUGACUCCUCUUGGAUGUCGAUGGGUUUAUUCUGUUAAAAUCAAGGCUGAUGGCAGCUUGGACAGAUAUAAAGCACGAUUGGUGGCUCUUGGAAACCAUCAAAAAUAUGGAGAACAUUAUGAGGAGACCUUUGCUCCAGUGGCUAAAAUGGGUACUAUUCGUACAAUUUUGGCCAUCGCAGCUUCAAAACAUUGGUGUUUGCACCAAUUGGAUGUGAAGAAUGCCUUUCUUCAUGGUGAUCUCACUGAAGAUAUAUAUAUGCGCCCACCAGCUGGCUUAUUUUCCACUCCUACCUCUGCUGUGUGUAAGUUACGCCGCUCCUUGUAUGGUCUCAAACAGGCUCCUCGUGCUUGGUAUGAGAGAUUUACUUCUGUCCUUCUUCAAUUUGAUUUCCUCAAAAGUAAAUAUGAUGCCUCUUUGUUUCUACGUAAGACUGCAAAUGGAGUUGUGUUUCUAUUGGUGUAUGUUGAUGAUAUAGUCAUAACCGGUACUGAUUUAGCUCUGAUUGAUCAACUCAAGCAGCAUCUGCAGAAAUCCUUUCACAUGAAGGAUCUAGGUCCUCUAACAUAUUUUCUUGGUCUAGAGAUUCAUGCUGGUUCCCAUGGCAUUUUUUUAUCCCAACACAAGUAUGCCAUGGACUUGGUGGCAGCUGCUGGUCUCCAGCAUUUGCCACCCCUUGAUACUCCAAUGGAAAUUAAUCUCAAGCUCCGCAAAGAUGAGGGUGAUUUAUUAUCAGACCCAGCUGCAUAUCGUACACUCGUGGGCAGCUUACUCUAUCUUACACACACUAGACCUGAUAUUUCUUUUGCUGUACAGCAGGUUAGUCAGUUUAUGGCUUCUCCCAGGCACCUCCAUAUGGCUGCUGUUCGCCGCAUCCUUCGUUAUAUUCAUGGCACCAUUCGAAGUGGCCUUUGCUAUCCUGCUGGUACUUCCCUUGAUCUUAUUGCUUAUAGUGAUGCUGAUUAUGCCGGGUGUUCCGACACUCGCCGUUCCAUUACUGGUUGGUGUAUGUUCCUUGGCCCUGCACUUAUUUCCUGGAAGAGCAAGAAACAAGAUCGUGUUUCCAAGUCUUCUACUGAGUCUGAAUACCGGGCUAUGUCCCAAGCUUGUUCCGAAAUCAUCUGGCUCCACGGGCUCCUUGCUGAGCUGGGUUUUCAGCAGUGCACUCCUACUCCUCUUUUUGCUGAUAAUACCAGUGCUAUUCAUCUUACUGCCAAUCCUAUCUUCCAUGAGCGCACAAAGCAUAUUGAGAUGGAUUGCCACUUCAUUCGUGACGCAUUUGCGGCUCAGACUAUAUCACUUCCACAUGUGUCCAGCAAUCUUCAGGUGGCUGAUGUUUUUACCAAGACUCUCACCCGACAACGUCAUCAUUUUCUUACUACCAAAUUGAUGCUUAUGGACCAGCCCGCAUCAAUUUGAGGGGGGAUGUCAAUAGAAAGACUUAAGUCAAAGCAUACAGCUAUUACAGCUGUAUGCUUGAAUAGGAAAUAGGAAAGUCACAAGCAUACAGCUAUUGCAGCUGUAUGCUUGAAUAGGAAAUAGGAAAGUCACAGCUGUUACAACUGUAUGCUGGAAUAAGAAUAUAAAUGAUUGAAUAGGAAAGGAAAUUGACCUUAUUUAAAUCCCUAGAUUCCCUCUUUGUAAUGGCCAUGUACAGCUCAACUUUUCCUAUAUAAUGAAAGCCUAGUCGAAAGGUGAAGGCAAUUCAAACCAUUCUGUUAACAGGGUCAUUUAUUGGAUAUGCAAUGUUAGGCCUAAAAUAGGAAGACAACAUUUUAGGGAUCCAAAGAAGAUUAAAC
rnacentral:lncRNA from 1 species